GUAGCAAUACGGGAGUGGCAGACGGGUGAGUAACGCGUGGGAACGUACCUUUCGGUUCGGAAUAACCCGGGGAAACUCGGGCUAAUACCGGAUACGUCCGCAAGGAGAAAGAUUUAUCGCCGAAAGAUCGGCCCGCGUCGGAUUAGCUAGUUGGUGAGGUAACGGCCCACCAAGGCGACGAUCCGUAGCUGGUCUGAGAGGAUGAUCAGCCACACUGGGACUGAGACACGGCCCAGACUCCUACGGGAGGCAGCAGUGGGGAAUAUUGGACAAUGGGCGAAAGCCUGAUCCAGCCAUGCCGCGUGAGUGAAGAAGGCCUUAGGG
rnacentral:rRNA from 1 species